GGUGCCUACGGGGCGCAGCAGUGGGGGAUAUUGCACAAUGGGGGGAACCCUGAUGCAGCGACGCCGCGUGGGUGAAGGAGCGUUUCGGCGCGUAAAGCCCUAUCGGCAGGGAAGAAGAUGACGGUAUCUGACCAAGAAGCCCCGGCUAACUACGUGCCAGCAGCCGCGGUAAUACGGAGGAUGCGAGCGUUAUCCGGAUUUAUUGGGUUUAAAGGGUGCGUAGGCGGGAUGCCAAGGCAGCGGUAAAA
rnacentral:rRNA from 1 species